rnacentral:piRNA from 1 species
UAAAUUCUGAAGUCGCUGCUUACUACU